rnacentral:lncRNA from 1 species
UGCAAUAAUAAGUCAAAUCAACAAUUCCUUCUAUCAUCUCCACCUUUCUAACCUAUGGCAUUAUGUUGUAUUGCAAAGAACAAACGCCUGCAUAGAAUGUUUAAAAAUAAAAGAACACAAGCAAUCAUGUGUAGAAUGUCUAAGGAAAUUUUUUGGUGUUACUGUAUACUUCCAAUACAUUAUUAAUAUUAAUGAAAUAAACAAGCCAUUCACUACUUGUGUGUGAGCAAAGAAGGCUUUGUUCCCUUGACUGAAGCCCUUUCCAGUUGAUCCAAUUUCCAUGACCUUUUCCAAGCAAUCAAAUAAAAAAUUGAUAUUUAUAACUAUGAAAGAGCAAACUUGACAUGAUCACAAGGCAACUACAUAACACAGAAGAAGUAAAAAAGAAGGAUAGAUUACUUCACAACAUACACACCCACACAGGUAAUCUUAAUUGAUCAAAGUAAGAGAACAAUAGCCAAAGAAACCCCCUCCAAUGACAUGGCAAAAAACAAGUUCAACCAAAGGAGAAGAAUAC